AGUUAUUUCUUCAAGUUAUAUAACCAAAUUUAACCCGACAGCUAUGUUGGCGAAAUUCUGAGAAAUAGUAAACCUUCUGCCGCACCUGUUUUCGCAGUCGAAAUCGAAGGGUUUGGAGUGAGAUUUUCGAAUCAGUCUCUUCACAAAACUCGUUGAGGACCGUGAUAAUUAUGUGUAAGUGUUAAAUUGCUUCUAAUUCGAGCAAAUCUUAUAGCCUUUUAGAGAUGAGAAUUUGACGGCGGUGAGUCAGCCAAAAACAGGGCAGUUUUGAUGAAUCAUCUUCGUUGGGUUUUAUUACCGUCAUAGGAUAAUAAUUUGGGAUAUAUUUCGUAAGUAAACUUUUAGAUGAAGUUGUCAGCUUUGAUUUGGUAUAUUGUUUGGCCAAUUUGGAUAAGUUUACAAAUAGUUAUGAAUUUUACAAUAAACUGUACCAGAAAAGAGAAUUUAUUCGAAAUUCGGGCAGUUUUCUGUAAUCAUCUUUUGGGCAUGUUUUGAAUAUGCUGGGAUCAUAGUUUGUGAUCAGAGUAUUCAGUGAACAUGUAGAUGCAGUUGUUAGCUUUCAUUUGGCAUAUUACGUUCCCAAUUCGGAUAAUCGUACCAAUUGUCUUGAUUUUUCAAAGAAAUUGUGGAAACAAAUGUUUUAAACCUUUGUUUCGAGAACUCGUCAAACAAACACGAGUCAACUCCGUACCAUGUGAAUUGAUGCCUGGAGUGUGUUGUAUUUUGUAAAUAGAACUCCAUAGAAAUUGUGUAUUAUGUUCGAUUGUCAGUUAUUGGCAUAAGAUUUAAGUUAGGAAACGAUUAUGAAAUAGAACCGAAUAUGAAAUAGAACCGAAUAGUAAACGAUUAUGUUAACAUUCGAUAACUUAUUUAAUUCUAAUAUUUCAUAGGUGUUGAGUAUAUUUAUGCUCUCAUUCAAGACUUGAGCAUGACUCGAGAGUAAGGUG
rnacentral:lncRNA from 1 species